ensembl:lncRNA
CGACACAGCAGGAACAACGUGUUUCUUGUUCUUACCACCCAGGCUCUGCAAGGACCAAGAUAACGGCAAAAAUGAGGCCAGCAGAGAUGACCAUCUUUACAGACUCCCACGGCACCCAGCAUGACCCAUUAAAAAUCAGCUCCAGACCGGGCGGAAGAAAAACCUACUGCCAAAAAGGGAAUAAAACUGUUUCCCACCCCCUGCUUGGCCGUGAAAAUGCUUCCAAAGAAGAGGCAAGAGGCCAAAUGAAGACUCUCUAGGUAACUUGCUGGCUUGAACCACGUGUGCAGAAGCUUGAAAUGUCA